UACGUAGGGUGCGAGCGUUGUCCGGAAUUAUUGGGCGUAAAGGGCUCGUAGGCGGUUUGUCGCGUCGGGAGUGAAAACCCAGGGCUUAACCCUGGGCUGGCUUCCGAUACGGGCAGACUAGAGGUAUGCAGGGGAGAACGGAAUUCCUGGUGUAGCGGUGAAAUGCGCAGAUAUCAGGAGGAACACCGGUGGCGAAGGCGGCUACCUGGACAGAGUCUGACGCUGAGGCACGAAAGCUAGGGGAGCAAACAGG
rnacentral:rRNA from 1 species